UACGGAGGGGGGCUAGCGUUGUUCGGAAUUACUGGGCGUAAAGCGCACGUAGGCGGCUUUGCAAGUUAGAGGUGAAAGCCCGGGGCUCAACUCCGGAAUUGCCUUUAAGACUGCAUCGCUAGAAUUGUGGAGAGGUAAAGUUGGAAUUCCGAGUGUAGAGGUGAAAAUUCGUAGAUAUUUCGGAAGAACACCAGUGGCGAAAGGCGACUUACUGGACACAUAUUGACGCUGAGGUGCGAAAGCGUGGGGAGCAAAAGGG
rnacentral:rRNA from 1 species